rnacentral:lncRNA from 1 species
UUACGAACAAGCUUGGACCUAGGUCUGACAAGUGUAAUUUUAUAGGGUACCCAAAAGAGACCAAAGGGUAUUACUUCUACCUAGCUGAUGAGCAAAAGGUAUUUUCAGCCUUAAGGCAAUCUUUUUGGAAAAAGAGUUCCUUGGUGAAGGGACUGUUGCCUCUAAGGUCAAACUUGACGAAGUUCGACAGGUGGAAAAACCGACACAAGUUGCUGAACCUGAAUCGGAUU